rnacentral:rRNA from 1 species
CAGCAGCCGCGGGAAUACGAAGGGUGCGAGCGUUAGUCGGAAUUACUGGGCGUAAAGGGUGCGUAGGCGGUUGUUUAAGUCUGUUGUGAAAUCCCCGGGCUCAACCUGGGAAUGGCAAUGGAAACUGGACGGCUAGAGUGUGUCAGAGGAUGGUGGAAUUCCCGGUGUAGCGGUGAAAUGCGUAGAGAUCUGGAGGAAUACCGGUGGCGAAGGCGGCCCCCUGGACAAAGACUGACGCUCAGGUGCGAAAGCGUGGGGAGCAAACAGGAUUAGAUACCCGAGUAGUCCCUGUCUCUUAUAC